rnacentral:rRNA from 1 species
AACGAACGCUGGCGGCAGGCUUAACACAUGCGAGUCGAACGGGCGCAGCAAUGCGUCAGUGGCAGACGGGUGAGUAACACGUGGGAACGUCCCCCUCGGUUCGGAAUAACUCAGGGAAACUUGAGCUAAUACCGGAUACGUCCGAGAGGAGAAAGAUUUAUCGCCGAGGGAUCGGCCCGCGUCUGAUUAGCUAGUUGGUGAGGUAAUGGCUCACCAAGGCGACGAUCAGUAGCUGGUCUGAGAGGAUGAUCAGCCACACUGGGACUGAGACACGGCCCAGACUCCUACGGGAGGCAGCAGCGGGGAAUAUUGGACAAUGGGCGCAAGCCUGAUCCAGCCAUGCCGCGUGAGUGGUGAAGGCCUUAGGGUUGUAAAGCUCUUUUGCCAGGGAAGAUAAUGACUGUACUUGGAGAAUAAGCCCCGGCUAACUUCGUGCCAGCAGCCGCGGUAAGAC